UACGUAGGGUGCGAGCGUUAAUCGGAAUUACUGGGCGUAAAGCGUGCGCAGGCGGCUUUUUAAGCCAGAUGUGAAAUCCCCGGGCUUAACCUGGGAACUGCAUUUGGAACUGGAAGGCUAGAGUGCGGGAGGGGGGUAGAAUUCCACGUGUAGCAGUGAAAUGCGUAGAGAUGUGGAGGAAUACCGAUGGCGAAGGCAGCCCCCUGGGUCGACACUGACGCUCAUGCACGAAAGCGUGGGGAGCAAACAGG
rnacentral:rRNA from 1 species